rnacentral:rRNA from 1 species
UGGGGAAUAUUGGACAAUGGGCGCAAGCCUGAUCCAGCAAUGCCGCGUGUGUGAAGAAGGCCUUCGGGUUGUAAAGCACUUUUAUCAGGAGCGAAACGCUGUCGGCUAAUACCCGGCGGAACUGACGGUACCUGAGGAAUAAGCACCGGCUAACUUCGUGCCAGCAGCCGCGGUAAUACGAAGGGUGCAAGCGUUAAUCGGAAUUACUGGGCGUAAAGCGUGCGUAGGCGGUUUCUUAAGUCUGCUGUGAAAUCCCCGGGCUCAACCUGGGAAUGGCAGUGGAUACUGGGAGGCUAGAGUGUGUCAGAGGGUGGUGGAAUUCCCGGUGUAGCGGUGAAAUGCGUAGAGAUCGGGAGGAACAUCAGUGGCGAAGGCGGCCACCUGGGACAACACUGACGCUGAGGCACGAAAGCGUGGGGAGCAAACAGGAUUAGAUACCCUGGUAGUCCACGCCCUAAACGAUGCGAACUGGAUGUUGGUCUCAACUCGGAGAUCAGUGUCGAAGCUAACGCGUUAAGUUCGCCGCCUGGGGAGUACGGUCGCAAGACUGGAAACUCAAAGGAAUUGACGGGGUCAUAGCUGUUUCCUG